GCAGUCGAGGGGCAGCAUAUAGUAGCAUACUUUGAUGGCGACCGGCGCACGGGUGAGUAACACGUAUGCAACCUACCUACAUCAGGGGAAUAACCCGGAGAAAUUCGGACUAAUACCGCAUAAUACAGGGAUGCCGCAUGGCAAUAUUUGUUAAAGAUUUAUCGGAUGUAGAUGGGCAUGCGUUCCAUUAGCUGGUUGGUAAGGUAACGGCUUACCAAGGCAACGAUAGAUAGGGGAACUGAGAGGUUUGUCCCCCACACUGGAACUGAGACACGGACCAGACUCCUACCGGAGGCAGCAGUGAGGAAUAUUGGUCAAUGGACGAGAGUCUGAACCAGCCAAAUCGCGUGAAGGAAGACUGCCCUACGGGUUGUAAACUUCUUUUGUACAGGAAUAAAAGACAUUACCUGUAGUGUAUUGCAUGUACUGUACGAAUAAGCAUCGGCUAACUCCGUGCCAGCAGCCGCGGUAAUACCGAGGAUGCCAGCGUUAUCCGGAUUUAUUGGGUUUAAAGGGUGCGCACGCGGGAUUUUAAGUCAGCGGUGAAAUUUUCAGGCUCAACCUGAACACUGCCGUUGAAACUGGGAUUCUUGAGUAUGGAUGAAGUAUGCGGAAUUCUUUGUGUAGCGGUGACAUGCUUAGAUAUAACGAGG
rnacentral:rRNA from 1 species